rnacentral:rRNA from 1 species
GACGAACGCUGGCGGCGUGCUUAACACAUGCAAGUCGAACGGAAAGGCCCUGCUUUUGUGGGGUGCUCGAGUGGCGAACGGGUGAGUAACCCGUGAGUAACCUGCCCUUGACUUUGGGAUAACUUCAGGAAACUGGGGCUAAUACCGGAUAGGAGCUCCUGCUGCAUGGUGGGGGUUGGAAAGUUUCGGCGGUUGGGGAUGGACUCGCGGCUUAUCAGCUUGUUGGUGGGGUAGUGGCUUACCAAGGCUUUGACGGGUAGCCGGCCUGAGAGGGUGACCGGCCACAUUGGGACUGAGAUACGGCCCAGACUCCUACGGGAGGCAGCAGUGGGGAAUAUUGCACAAUGGGCGGAAGCCUGAUGCAGCAACGCCGCGUGCGGGAUGACGGCCUUCGGGUUGUAAACCGCUUUCGCCUGUGACGAAGCGUGAGUGACGGUAAUGGGUAAAGAAGCACCGGCUAACUACGU